AAUGGCUUGAGAUACUUCCAACAUGUUCAAAUGGAGUCUAUUCAUCAGUCAAAACGUUAAUCUUGAAGGAGCAAAAGUUUGUUUAUGAGUUGUCAUGCUCGCUAGCCGAGCAGAAUGGGUCGCCUAGCGAGUCCCAAGAAAAGCCACCAGAAUCACCUACGCUCAGAGGAAUUUCUUGAACUGUCAUGCUCGCUAGGCGAAGCCCACGCGUUUUGAAAAAAAAACGAAAA
rnacentral:lncRNA from 1 species